AGAGUUUGAUCAUGGCUCAGGAUGAACGCUGGCGGCGUGCCUAAUACAUGCAAGUCGAGCGAACGGACGAGAAGCUUGCUUCUCUGAUGUUAGCGGCGAACGGGUGAGUAACACGUGGAUAACCUACCUAUAAGACUGGGAUAACUUCGGGAAACCGGAGCUAAUACCAGAUAAUAUUUUGAACCGCAUGGUUCAAAAGUGAAAGACGGUCUUGCUGUCACUUAUAGAUGGAUCCGCGCUGCAUUAGCUAGUUGGUAGGUAACGGCUUACCAAGGCAACGAUGCAUAGCCGACCUGAGAGGGUGAUCGGCCACACUGGAACUGAGACACGGUCCAGACUCCUACGGGAGGCAGCAGUAGGGAAUCUUCCGCAAUGGGCGAAAGCCUGACGGAGCAACGCCGCGUGAGUGAUGAAAGUCUUCGGAUCGUAAAACUCUGUUAUUAGGGAAGAACAUAUGUGUAAGUAACUGUGCACAUCUUGACGGUACCUAAUCAGAAAGCCACGGCUAACUACGUGCCAGCAGCCGCGGUAAUACGUAGGUGGCAAGCGUUAUCCGGAAUUAUUGGGCGUAAAGCGCGCGUAGGCGGUUUUUUAAGUCUGAUGUGAAAGCCCACGGCUCAACCGUGGAGGGUCAUUGGAAACUGGAAAACUUGAGUGCAGAAGAGGAAAGUGGAAUUCCAUGUGUAGCGGUGAAAUGCGCAGAGAUAUGGAGGAACACCAGUGGCGAAGGCGACUUUCUGGUCUGUAACUGACGCUGAUGUGCGAAAGCGUGGGGAUCAAACAGGAUUAGAUACCCUGGUAGUCC
rnacentral:rRNA from 1 species